CAGGCCUAACACAUGCAAGUCGGACGGUAGCACAGAGGAGCUUGCUCCUCGGGUGACGAGUGGCGGACGGGUGAGUAAUGUCUGGGGAUCUGCCCGAUAGAGGGGGAUAACCACUGGAAACGGUGGCUAAUACCGCAUAACGUCGCAAGACCAAAGAGGGGGACCUUCGGGCCUCUCACUAUCGGAUGAACCCAGAUGGGAUUAGCUAGUAGGCGGGGUAACGGCCCACCUAGGCGACGAUCCCUAGCUGGUCUGAGAGGAUGACCAGCCACACUGGAACUGAGACACGGUCCAGACUCCUACGGGAGGCAGCAGUGGGGAAUAUUGCACAAUGGGCGCAAGCCUGAUGCAGCCAUGCCGCGUGUAUGAAGAAGGCCUUCGGGUUGUAAAGUACUUUCAGCGGGGAGGAAGGCAGUGAGGUUAAUAACCUUACUGAUUGACGUUACCCGCAGAAGAAGCACCGGCUAACUCCGUGCCAGCAGCCGCG
rnacentral:rRNA from 1 species